AAUAAAGUGGCUGAGUUAUAAGCGGUAGAUUGUAAAUCUAUAAACGAAUUUAAAUUCCUUUGUUA
rnacentral:tRNA from 1 species